GUCCAGGGGCGGGAAUCGAACCAACAACCUUCCGCUUACCGGGCAGAUGCCAUGUCCACUAGGCUACCCUGGA